UUGUAGUUGGGCUGUUUCCUGCAGCAUGGCUGCUCUCCUGUAAGACUUGCGGGGCGUCUCCUUCUCCCGAGACACUGAAUCAGCACUUUAUUAACAGGAUGUGGCCAUGCUAACUCAGUUUUGGAAAGAGAGUGUUAUAUUCAGAAAUUUACAGAAUAAAAAGUAGAAAAUAAAA